UACGAAGGGGGCUAGCGUUGCUCGGAAUCACUGGGCGUAAAGAGCGCGCAGGCGGUCGUUCAAGUCGAGUGUGAAAGCCCCCGGCUCAACUGGGGAGGGUCACUCGAUACUGAUCGACUCGAAGGCAGGAGAGGGAAGUGGAAUUCCCGGUGUAGUGGUGAAAUGCGUAGAUAUCGGGGAGGAACACCAGUGGCGAAGGCG
rnacentral:rRNA from 1 species